ACUUGUAUCACUUGUUGAUCAACUGAAUAGAGAGUUGAAUGACGCACGCUUUAUAUACCUGAAUUCUACUGGGAUGUCAUCUGGCGAUCCUUCUGUGCUCGGGUUUAGGGUUACAAACGUUGGAUGUUGUCCAGCACGUAGUGAUGGCCAAUGCAUUCAAGACCCAUGCCAAAAUAGGACUGAAUAUGCGUUUUGGGAUGCAAUUCAUCCUACCGAAGCUUUGAACCAAUUCACUGCAAGAAGAUCGUACAAUGCCAUUCUUCCAUCUGAUGCUUAUCCAACCGAUAUCAGUCAUUUAAUCAGUUAACAUGCAGAUCUAAGUCAAGGAAGAUAAUAUUCCAUAAAUAAUAUAAUAAAUAAUUUAUAAAAAAUAAGGUGGUCUUGGUCACUUUGUUACGAUGAUAAAAUUAUGCAAAACAGCAGUCUAAUAAUAUGACUUCUUGUAAACGAAAAAGAAAAAAAAAAACAGUCUGACAAUAUGCUGUAACAUGCAUGUACUUGUACCUCAAGAAUGAUAUAUAAGAUCGUUUUCUUACGAAAUAUUUGGAUAAA